rnacentral:rRNA from 1 species
GAUGAACGCUGGCGGCGUGCCUAAUACAUGCAAGUCGAGCGAACAGACGAGGAGCUUGCUCCUCUGACGUUAGCGGCGGACGGGUGAGUAACACGUGGAUAACCUACCUAUAAGACUGGGAUAACUUCGGGAAACCGGAGCUAAUACCGGAUAAUAUAUUGAACCGCAUGGUUCAAUAGUGAAAGACGGUUUUGCUGUCACUUAUAGAUGGAUCCGCGCCGCAUUAGCUAGUUGGUAAGGUAACGGCUUACCAAGGCAACGAUGCGUAGCCGAACUGAGAGGGUGAUCGGCCACACUGGAACUGAGACACGGUCCAGACUCCUACGAGAGGCAGCAGUAGCGAAUCUUCCGCAAUGGGCGAGAGCCUGACGGAGCAACGCCGCGUGAGUGAUGAAGGUCUUCGGAUCGUAAAACUCUGUUAUUAGGGAAGAACAAAUGUGGAAGUAACUAUGCACGUCUUGACGGUACCUAAUCAGAAAGCAACGGCUAACUACGUG